rnacentral:rRNA from 1 species
UGGUGGCAUUUUAUUUUAUUAGAGGAAUCUGUUUUUUAAUCGAUAGCCCGCGUUAAAUCUUACUCUUUAUUAAAUCUUAUAUAUCUCCGUUUCAAGAAUAUUUUUCAAAAUACUAUUCAAAAAAAUUUUUAAAAAAAUAGGUAAAGAUGUAGACUACAAAAGAGUUAAAAUGGAUUACACUUAACGCUAUUUAAGGAUAAAUUUAUAUUUAUUUUUAUGAAAUAGGAUUUAAAAGUAUUAUUAAAAUAAUAUUUUAUUUUGAAUAAGAUAAUAAAUGUGCACACAUCGCCCGUCGCUCUUA